rnacentral:rRNA from 1 species
CCUACGGGCGGCAGCAGUGAGGAAUAUUGGUCAAUGGACGUAAGCCUGAACCAGCCAAGUCGCGUGCGGGAUGAAGGUUCUAUGGAUCGUAAACCUCUUUUAUAAGGGAGUAAAGUGCGGGACGUGUCCCGGUUUGUAUGUACCUUAUGAAUAAGGAUCGGCUAACUCCGUGCCAGCAGCCGCGGUAAUACGGAGGAUCCGAGCGUUAUCCGGAUUUAUUGGGUUUAAAGGGUGCGUAGGCGGCCUUUUAAGUCAGAGGUGAAAGUCAGUGGCUCAACCAGGGAAGUGCCGUUGAUACUGGGGGGCUUGAGUAUGUUUGAGGCAGGCGGAAUGCGUGGUGUAGCGGUGAAAUGCUUAGAUAUCACACAGAACCCCGAUUGCGAAGGCAGCCUGCCAAGCCAUGACUGACGCUGAUGCACGAAAGCGUGGGGAUCAAACAGGAUUAGAUACCCCAGUAGUC